rnacentral:rRNA from 1 species
CCCUUAGAUGUUCUGGGCCGCACGCGCGCUACACUGACGAAUGCAACGAGCUUAUAACCUUGGCCGAAAGGUCUGGGUAAUCUCCAAAUUUCGUCGUGAUGGGGAUAGAUUAUUGCAAUUAUUAAUCUUCAACGAGGAAUGCCUAGUAAGCGCAAGUCAUCAGCUUGCGUUGAUUACGUCCCUGCCCUUUGUACACACCGCCCGUCGCACCUACCGAUUGAAUGACUCGGUGAAAAAUUGGGACUGUGAUUGAAAUUGCUUCAUUGCGAAUUUAAUUAUGGAAACUUUCUUUAACCUAGGCAUUUAGAGGAAGGUGAAGUCGUAACA